GGAUGUGAGGGCAACCUGGCUGCGACAUCUAUCACACCAUUGAUCGCCAGGGUUGAUUCGGCUGAUCUGGCUGGCUAGUCGGGUGUCCCUUUCCUCCCUCACUGCUCCACGUGCGUCCCUCCCGAAGCAGCACGAUGGGUGGAAGAGGACGACCAACCCCGUUAGAGGAGGACUGUUCUUCUCAGUCAAGGGUAUAGGAGUACCUGUGCUGCCCCACUAGAACCUCCAAACAAGCCUUCAAAACAAACAUUGACUUUGAAAUGACUAAAACAACUUGCUCUUAUCCUGAUGCUACCUAACAUCAUCUCA
ensembl:misc_RNA 7SK 7SK RNA